ACACACCGCCCGUCACACCAUGGGAGUCGGAUAUGCCCGAAGCCGGUGACCUAACCGCAAGGAAGGAGCCGUCGAAGGUGGAGCCGAUGACUGGGGUGAAGUCGUAACAAGGUACC
rnacentral:rRNA from 1 species